AGCCGACUUUUGGGAGGGCUGUAUUUAUUGAUAACAGACCAAUAUUCCUUGUGAAAUAGGGGUGACUCAUAGUAACUGAUCGGAUCGCAUGGGUUUGCCCGCGACAAACCAUUCAAGUUUCUGCCCCAUCAGCUUUCGAUGGUGGUGUAUUGGACUACCAUGGCUUUUACGGGUAACGGAGGAUUAGGGUUCGAUUCCGGAGAGGGAGCCUGAGAAACGGCUACCACAUCUAAGGAAGGCAGCAGGCGCGUAAAUUACCCAAUACUGACUCAGUGAGGUAGUG
rnacentral:rRNA from 1 species